GGAGUUGUGGCUCAGCGGUAGAGCACUCACCUAGCGUAUGAGAGGCCCUGGGUUCGAUCCUCUGCACCA
rnacentral:tRNA from 1 species